GACGAACGCUGGCGGCGUGCUUAACACAUGCAAGUCGAACGGUAAGGCUCCAGCUUGCUGGGGUACACGAGUGGCGAACGGGUGAGUAACACGUGGGUGACCUGCCCUGCACUUCGGGAUAAGCCUGGGAAACUGGGUCUAAUACCGGAUAGGACCGCACCGUGAGGGUGUGGUGGAAAGUUUUUUCGGUGUGGGAUGGGCCCGCGGCCUAUCAGCUUGUUGGUGGGGUAAUGGCCUACCAAGGCGGCGACGGGUAGCCGGCCUGAGAGGGUGGACGGCCACAUUGGGACUGAGACACGGCCCAGACUCCUACGGGAGGCAGCAGUGGGGAAUAUUGCACAAUGGGCGGAAGCCUGAUGCAGCGACGCCGCGUGGGGGAUGACGGCCUUCGGGUUGUAAACUCCUUUCACCAUCGACAAAGGGUUUCUGACGGUAGAUGGAGAAGAAGCACCGGCUAACUACGUG
rnacentral:rRNA from 1 species